GAUGAACGCUGGCGGCGUGCCUAAUACAUGCAAGUCGAGCGAACAGAUGAGGAGCUUGCUCCUCUGACGUUAGCGGCGGACGGGUGAGUAACACGUGGAUAACCUACCUAUAAGACUGGGAUAACUUCGGGAAACCGGAGCUAAUACCGGAUAAUAUAUUGAACCGCAUGGUUCAAUAGUGAAAGACGGUUUUGCUGUCACUUAUAGAUGGAUCCGCGCCGCAUUAGCUAGUUGGUAAGGUAACGGCUUACCAAGGCAACGAUGCGUAGCCGACCUGAGAGGGUGAUCGGCCAUACUGGAACUGAGACACGGUCCAGACUCCUACGGGAGGCAGCAGUAGGGAAUCUUCCGCAAAGGGCGAAAGCCUGACGGAGCAACGCCGCGUGAGUGAUGAAGGUCUUCGGAUCGUAAAACUCUGUUAUUAGGGAAGAACAAAUGUGUAAGUAACUAUGCACGUCUUGACGGUACCUAAUCAGAAAGCCACGGCUAACUACGUG
rnacentral:rRNA from 1 species